GAUGAACGCUGGCGGCGUGCUUAACACAUGCAAGUCGAACGAAACACCUUAUUUGAUUUUCUUCGGAACUGAAGAUUUGGUGAUUGAGUGGCGGACGGGUGAGUAACGCGUGGGUAACCUGCCCUGUACAGGGGGAUAACAGUCAGAAAUGACUGCUAAUACCGCAUAAGACCACAGCACCGCAUGGUGCAGGGGUAAAAACUCCGGUGGUACAGGAUGGACCCGCGUCUGAUUAGCUGGUUGGUGAGGUAACGGCUCACCAAGGCGACGAUCAGUAGCCGGCUUGAGAGAGUGAACGGCCACAUUGGGACUGAGACACGGCCCAAACUCCUACGGGAGGCAGCAGUGGGGAAUAUUGCACAAUGGGGGAAACCCUGAUGCAGCGACGCCGCGUGAGUGAAGAAGUAUUUCGGUAUGUAAAGCUCUAUCAGCAGGGAAGAAAAUGACGGUACCUGCCUAAGAAGCCCCGGCUAACUACGUG
rnacentral:rRNA from 1 species